GAUGAACGCUGACAGCAUGCUUAACACAUGCAAGUCUACUUGAACUUCGGUUUGGGUGGCGGACGGGUGAGUAACGCGUAAAGAACUUGCCCCACAGUUAGGGACAACAUUUGGAAACGAAUGCUAAUACCUGAUAUUAUGUUUUUAGGGAAUACUAAAAUUAUGAAAGCUAUAUGCGCUGUGAGAGAGCUUUGCGUCCCAUUAGAUAGUUGGAGAGGUAACGGCUCACCAAGGCGAUGAUGGGUAGCCGGCCUGAGGGGGUGAACGGCCACCAGAAUACUGAGACACGGCGCUUACUCCUACGACAGGAGGCAGUAGGGGAGAUUAGUCGACAAACGACAAGACUGAACCAGCGCAACUCUGUGCGCGAUGACGAGUUCCUGAGGGUGUAGUGCUUUCCGAUGCGAAGUGACAAAUGACGUAACCGACAGAAGAGGUGACGGUAACAUACUC
rnacentral:rRNA from 1 species